rnacentral:ncRNA from 1 species
AUUUGGGUAUCUGUUGAAUCAGAUUUAAUAGGGAACACGGGUGAGAGUCCCUGACAGUCCCGCUGCUGUGUUUCUCAAACAAUGGUUCAGGAUGAGCAACCGCUCUCAUGGAUGCAACAAACGCCACUGACCUGAUAAAGGUCGGGAAGGUUCCGGAACCCGGAGAUAAGUCAGAAGACCUGCCCAAAAUUC